rnacentral:rRNA from 1 species
ACUACAUGAAGCUGGAAUCGCUAGUAAUCGCGGAUCAGAAUGCCGCGGUGAAUACGUUCCCGGGUCUUGUACACACCGCCCGUCACACCAUGGGAGUUGGGAAUGCCCGAAGUCAGUGACCUAACCGAAAGGAGGGAGCUGCCGAAGGCAGGCCUGAUAACUGGGGUGAAGUCGUAACAAGGUAUC